rnacentral:misc_RNA from 1 species
AUCUUUUAAUUACUUUAAUAAGUAAAAUACAUGUUAUUUUUCAAAAAGUGUGGGGUUUUAAAUACGCGCAAGCCAGGCUUGCUUAGAUUCAAUAAUGAUCCUUCCGCAGGUUCACCUACGGAAA